rnacentral:tRNA from 5 species
GCCGGGGUGGCGGAACAGGCAGACGCAACGGACUUAAAAUCCGUCGAAUCGAGAGAUUCGUACCGGUUCGAUUCCGGUCCUCGGCACCA